rnacentral:rRNA from 1 species
CCUACGGGUGGCAGCAGUGGGGAAUAUUGGGCAAUGGGCGCAAGCCUGACCCAGCAACGCCGCGUGAAGGAAGAAGGCUUUCGGGUUGUAAACUUCUUUUAAGAGGGAAGAGCAGAAGACGGUACCUCUUGAAUAAGCCACGGCUAACUACGUGCCAGCAGCCGCGGUAAUACGUAGGUGGCAAGCGUUGUCCGGAUUUACUGGGUGUAAAGGGCGUGUAGCCGGGCUGACAAGUCAGAUGUGAAAUUCCGGGGCUCAACCCCGGACCUGCAUUUGAAACUGUUGGUCUUGAGUAUCGGAGAGGCAGGCGGAAUUCCUAGUGUAGCGGUGAAAUGCGUAGAUAUUAGGAGGAACACCAGUGGCGAAGGCGGCCUGCUGGGCUUUUACUGACGCUGAGGCUCGAAAGUGUGGGGAGCAAACAGGAUUAGAUACCCCAGUAGUC